GCUUCCAAGAUGCUAGUGGGGCCUUCCUUUGGAAGAGUUGAGCGCCCUACCGCAACACUUGUUGAGCUCACAACACUCGGCGAGGCCGCGGGGAACUGCACUGUGAUCCAUGGGAAGCAGAGGCCCUACCCAGCAGCCCCCACGGGAGAGGCGGGGCAGAUCUCUGGAUCCUACCAGGAAAGAGGUGAGGGUGCAAGGAGGCCUGCCGGAAUGAGCUCCACCUGGUCGGCUUUCAGGGAGAAUCAGUGCCCAGAAGAGCCUCCUUUGCUCCAGGUCAGCUGGAACGGCCCAGGUAUGGGUACAGGGAGCGGAAGCUUUGCAUCUUCACUGCAGCACUGAGUCCAUUGGCCUUAGGAGCAGCCCUCCCCUGGGUGGGGACCGUGACGGCAGCGGCACUGUGGUGGACCACUGCUGAAUGAAGUUGUGAUGCGUGGGCACUUGGGUCUCAGUUUCCUGCGCGUAUCUCUGAGCCCUUUCUGGAGAUGACUGCAGAGAUCUCGAAGCUCUCAUUAGCCCUGCUGAAAGCAAAUUGCUCGGAACCCGGGAACACGUGCUGCUCCAUAUCCCGCUUGGGUCCAUGGUCCCGGGGAGGAAAUAUCUUCUGUCUCUUCUGGAAGCCCUUGGAUGACACUAGCUUCACUGCUUGGGAAAGAAAUAAUUGAUCAGUCAUAGGAUAUUGUCAGCUGAGCAGCAGUGACAAAAGAACCAUCCAGACUGUGCAGUUACCUAGGCCUUGGCUCCACCGCCUCUAAACAGCACCACCAGGAGCAGGGACGUUCGCAUAUACAGUAAAAAUGAAUUCCACCUACAUGCCUGAUGGCAAUUAAUCCCUCGUAGGUGCUAAUGAAUAAAACGCAGCAUGUAGACUUCAAGAGGAUGAAAAAGCCUACAAUCCAGAUCCAGAGAGGCACUCCAAGUAUCAGCCCCCCACGCCGGUCGCCCCUCAGAUGUCACUCUCACCCUGGCCAGCAAGUGCUGUGCCAGGGCCAGCCCACCCCUGUGCUGUGCACUUGAGCACAGGGGGUAGGAGGGAGCUGUCCAUGAGGACAUAACUCAGUAGAAAGCAUGAUUUUAGAACCUGAAGUGUUAACCUGUUUUUUGGUCACUGUCACAGACCAUGAUGCUACCAGUUUAAGUCUGUACUGGGGUAUGAGAACUGAAUCUCCAAACCAAAAAUCCUUUAGAAGAAGCAUUUAAAGAUCUGAUUAGAGAGCAGGCUGCAUUGGUGGGGUGGAGACUGUUGUGUUAUCAGUGCUUCCCAUUCUUGCUGAUAAUCAGAUGUCCCUAAGCAGCAUUUAAAAGUAGUUUCCUUGGCCCUGUUUCUGGAGAUUCUCUGCUGGGAGGCCUAGGAUAGAGCCUGAGAAUCUAAAUUUAAAAAAAAAAAAAAAUUUCCCAGGUGAAUCUGAUCUUCAGGCCAGAUUCCAUACUCCAGGAUUAGAUGAACUUCUGUAUCCCAUUUAACUGGAAAACUCCAGGAUUAAGUAUUGAUUGGAAGAUUCUUAAAGAUUAUGCUCACUUUUCAUCUGUACUUUUACUAUGUUUUGUGUUUAAAACGAGCAAGCAAUUAUCUUUCAUAAUGUAACCACCUCUCAGAUAUAAAUCGAUGUUCAAAAAGUUCUUUUAAUUGAAGCUGUAGCUUAUUUUUAAUUUUUAAUACUUUAAUUAGAAUUUCCAAAUUUUAUGUCUUUACUAAAAACUGAACAUGGAUAUUUUUAAUAAUAAAAACUCAACAAAUGUUAUUUUUAAAGACCUUUUUGCAUCCCAAGAGAAGCUAAUCUGUUCACAGAGAA
ensembl:lncRNA